UACGUAGGGGGCAAGCGUUGUCCGGAAUCAUUGGGCGUAAAGAGCGUGUAGGCGGCCAGAUAAGUCCGCUGUGAAAACUCGAGGCUCAACUUCGAGCUGUCGGUGGAAACUAUUUGGCUAGAGUCCGGAAGAGGAGAGUGGAAUUCCUGGUGUAGCGGUGAAAUGCGCAGAUAUCAGGAGGAACACCAGCGGCGAAGGCGCCACUCUGGGCCGGUACUGACGCUGAGGAGCGAAAGCGUGGGGAGCGAACAGG
rnacentral:rRNA from 1 species